rnacentral:rRNA from 1 species
AUUGGACGCUGGCGGCAGGCCUAACACAUGCAAGUCGAGCGGAUGAAGGGAGCUUGCUCCUGGAUUCAGCGGCGGACGGGUGAGUAAUGCCUAGGAAUCUGCCUGGUAGUGGGGGAUAACGUCCGGAAACGGGCGCUAAUACCGCAUACGUCCUGAGGGAGAAAGUGGGGGAUCUUCGGACCUCACGCUAUCAGAUGAGCCUAGGUCGGAUUAGCUAGUUGGUGGGGUAAAGGCCUACCAAGGCGACGAUCCGUAACUGGUCUGAGAGGAUGAUCAGUCACAACUGAAACUAGAACAGGUCCAGACUCCUACGGGAGGCAGCAGUGGGGAAUAUUGGACAAUGGGCGAAAGCCUGAUCCAGCCAUGCCGCGUGUGUGAAGAAGGUCUUCGGAUUGUAAAGCACUUUAAGUUGGGAGGAAGGGCAGUAAGUUAAUACCUUGCUGUUUUGACGUUACCAACAGAAUAAGCACCGGCUAACUUCGUG